rnacentral:rRNA from 1 species
UACGUAGGGUGCAAGCGUUAAUCGGAAUUACUGGGCGUAAAGCGUGCGCAGGCGGUAAUGUAAGACAGAUGUGAAAUCCCCGGGCUCAACCUGGGAACUGCAUUUGUGACUGCAUUGCUGGAGUGCGGCAGAGGGGGAUGGAAUUCCGCGUGUAGCAGUGAAAUGCGUAGAUAUGCGGAGGAACACCGAUGGCGAAGGCAAUCCCCUGGACCUGUACUGACGCUCAUGCACGAAAGCGUGGGGAGCAAACAGG